UACGCAGGGUGCAAGCGUUGUCCGGAAUUAUUGGGCGUAAAGAGCUCGUAGGCGGUCUGUCGCGUCUGCUGUGAAAACUCAGGGCUUAACCCUGAGCUUGCAGUGGGUACGGGCAGACGUAGAGUGCGGUAGGGGAGACUGGAAUUCCGUGGUGUAGCGGUGAAAUGCGCAGAUAUCGAGGAAGAACACCCGUGGCGAAGGCGGUUCUCUGGAACG
rnacentral:rRNA from 1 species